UGCCUACGGGUGGCUGCAGUGGGGAAUAUUGGACAAUGGGCGCAAGCCUGAUCCAGCCAUGCCGCGUGAGUGAUGAAGGCCCUAGGGUUGUAAAGCUCUUUUGUGCGGGAAGAUAAUGACGGUACCGCAAGAAUAAGCCCCGGCUAACUUCGUGCCAGCAGCCGCGGUAAUACGAAGGGGGCUAGCGUUGCUCGGAAUCACUGGGCGUAAAGGGUGCGUAGGCGGGUCUUUAAGUCAGGGGUGAAAUCCUGGAGCUCAACUCCAGAACUGCCUUUGAUACUGAAGAUCUUGAGUUCGGGAGAGGUGAGUGGAACUGCGAGUGUAGAGGUGAAAUUCGUAGAUAUUCGCAAGAACACCAGUGGCGAAGGCGGCUCACUGGCCCGAUACUGACGCUGAGGCACGAAAGCGUGGGGAGCAAACAGGAUUAGAUACCCUAGUAGUCCA
rnacentral:rRNA from 1 species